rnacentral:rRNA from 1 species
UACGUAGGGUGCGAGCGUUGUCCGGAAUUAUUGGGCGUAAAGAGCUCGUAGGCGGUUUGUCGCGUCUGCUGUGAAAACCCGAGGCUCAACCUCGGGCCUGCAGUGGGUACGGGCAGACUAGAGUGCGGUAGGGGAGAAUGGAAUUCCCGGUGUAGCGGUGAAAUGCGCAGAUAUCGGGAGGAACACCGGUGGCGAAGGCGGUUCUCUGGGCAUUACCUGACGCUGAGGAGCGAAAGUGUGGGGAGCGAACAGG